ACACUCCUGCGGGAGGCAGCAGUGGGGAAUUUUGGACAAUGGGCGAAAGCCUGAUCCAGCAAUGCCGCGUGAGUGAAGAAGGCCUUCGGGUUGUAAAGCUCUUUUGUCAGGGAAGAAACGGUGAAAGCUAAUAUCUUUUGCUAAUGACGGUACCUGAAGAAUAAGCACCGGCUAACUACGUGCCAGCAGCCGCGGUAAUACGUAGGGUGCAAGCGUUAAUCGGAAUUACUGGGCGUAAAGCGUGCGCAGGCGGUUUUGUAAGUCUGAUGUGAAAUCCCCGGGCUCAACCUGGGAAUUGCAUUGGAGACUGCAAGGCUAGAAUCUGGCAGAGGGGGGUAGAAUUCCACGUGUAGCAGUGAAAUGCGUAGAUAUGUGGAGGAACACCGAUGGCGAAGGCAGCCCCCUGGGUCAAGAUUGACGCUCAUGCACGAAAGCGUGGGGAGCAAACAGGAUUAGAUACCCCUGUAGUCC
rnacentral:rRNA from 1 species